rnacentral:rRNA from 1 species
CUACGGGGGGCUGCAGUGGGGAAUAUUGCACAAUGGGCGCAAGCCUGAUGCAGCCAUGCCGCGUGUAUGAAGAAGGCCUUCGGGUUGUAAAGUACUUUCAGCGGGGAGGAAGGGAGUAAAGUUAAUACCUUUGCUCAUUGACGUUACCCGCAGAAGAAGCGCCGGCUAACUCCGUGCCAGCAGCCGCGGUAAUACGGAGGGUGCAAGCGUUAAUCGGAAUUACUGGGCGUAAAGCGCACGCAGGCGGUUUGUUAAGUCAGAUGUGAAAUCCCCGGGCUCAACCUGGGAACUGCAUCUGAUACUGGCAAGCUUGAGUCUCGUAGAGGGGGGUAGAAUUCCAGGUGUAGCGGUGAAAUGCGUAGAGAUCUGGAGGAAUACCGGUGGCGAAGGCGGCCCCCUGGACGAAGACUGACGCUCAGGUGCGAAAGCGUGGGGAGCAAACAGGAUUAGAUACCCUUCGUAGUC